rnacentral:rRNA from 1 species
AUGGAUAACAAUAUUGUGAGCGGAAGUAGGAUUAAUCCGGCCGGUGGUGAGGACGACGAGGAAACAUGGUUGCAUGCGUGGGGGCUCAUCACCAGCUUCGCGGUCUCCAUGACCCUGAAAGCAGCAAUCGAGCUGGGCAUCUUCGAGGCACUCAGCAACGCCGGCAGCGGCGCGAUUACGGCGGAUGAAUUAGCCGCGCGGCUCCCAACCAUGGACAAGGGUGGCGGGGCGGCUUCGGUGGACCGCGUCAUGCGGCUGCUUGCCUCCUUCGACGUCGUCAAGUGCGUGACGGAGGCAGGUCCAAGCGGCGAGGCCAUCCGGCAGUACAGGCCCUCGCCGGUGUGUCGGUGGCUCAGCAGCAACCAUGGUGGCCCGUCGCUGGCGCCGUACGCUAUGUUCACUAUGGACCAGGACUUCUUGACGGCCUGGCAGCAGUUGGGGGCGGCAGCGGGAGGCGAACAAACGGCAUUCAAGAGGACGCAUGGGGUUUCGAUGGGCGAGCACUUGGGGAGAAACCCUCGGGUACUCGGGGUGGUCGACAAGGCCAUGGUGCAGAUCUCGGUGAUGGUGACCAGCAAGUUGUUGGAGCGCUUCCACGGGUUCGACGACGUGACCGUUCUUGUCGAUGUUGGUGGCGGCACUGGUUCUACCCUGGAGAUGAUCACCUCCAGGUACAAGCAUAUCAGGGGCAUCAACUUCGACCUGCCUCAUGUCAUCUCCCUCGCGCCGUCUAUUCUCGGUGUUGAACAUAUAGCUGGAAAUAUGUUUGAUAAUGUUCCCACUGGAGACACGAUUUUCUUAAAGACGGUACUCCAUAUGUUGGAUGACAAUGACUGCAUAAAGGUUCUUAAAAAUUGCCAUCAAGCUAUGUCAGAUAAGGGGCGACUGAUCGCUGUUGAGUUUGUCUUGCCGGCUACUCCAGAGGUGACAAGGGCAGCACAAAAUCUCUACAUUCUCGACGUGAUGAUGUUAAAUAACUCAGAGGGGGGGAAGGAGAGAACUGUGCAAGAGUUUCUGAAGCUGGCUAGGGAAUCGGGAUUCAGCAGCACCUUCCAGUCAACUUACAUUUUUGGAAACUUUUGGGCUCUCGAAUUUACCAAAUAG